rnacentral:misc_RNA from 1 species
GUAGGUGAACCUGCGGAAGGAUCAUUAAUAAGUAUGGCCUCACGCCCUAGGCGCGGCACGAUUCCACGUGUAUCAUCACUCUAAUCUUCCGGGAUUACGCUGGUGGUUACGGCGGCGGGUAGUAAUACCUGCCUUAAGGAUGAAUAACUUAAACCCGUGUCUACCUUCUUUGUUGCUUUGGCGGGCCGCCGCCUCGCGGCGUUGGCUCCGGCUGACCGUGCCCGCCAGAGGACCCAAACUCUUUUGUUUU